rnacentral:rRNA from 1 species
CAGCAGCCGCGGGAAUACGAGGGGGGCAAGCGUUGUUCGGAAUUAUUGGGCGUAAAGGGUGCGUAGGCGGUUUGGCAAGUUUGGUGUGAAAUCUUCGGGCUCAACUCGAAGUCUGCAUCGAAAACUGCCGGGCUUGAGUAUGGGAGAGGUGAGUGGAAUUUCCGGUGUAGCGGUGAAAUGCGUAGAUAUCGGAAGGAACACCAGUGGCGAAGGCGGCUUACUGGCCCGAUACUGACGCUGAGGUGCGAAAGCGUGGGGAGCAAACAGGAUUAGAUACCCGUGUAGUCCCUGUCUCUUAUAC